CAGGCAUCGUGGCAGCAAUGAAGCUGUGCACCUGGGAUGGGUUCCCUAAGGGCCAGAGGCAUCACCAGGGGAUCUAGACUGAUGUGAUCCUCCUUCCCUCCCUGAGCCUGCUCUGUCCAUUAGAAGUUCUCCCAGAAGCUGAAGUGAAGCCGUAUUUAAGAAAGAUGGCCUUUUUUGGGACAAGAUCAAGCAAUGAAAAGGGCCUUAGUAAAAGACCAACAAGAGCUUUCAAAUGACAGAAUCUGCCAAAUACAGGAACACAGAAACUACUGGUGCUUCUUGAAGGGAGUUUUUAAUGCCCAGUCCUCAAAGCCUUGUGAGAGUAGCUGUGCUUAGAAAUCAAGAAGGUUGCACACUGCCAGCACAGAGCUUAAAAAUAUUAAGAGAUGCAACGGAUUUGUCCUGGCCCUCUGUGAAGAGGACUUUGCGGCCAAAACCUCAUCACCUAUGCAUGCAGUAGCAGUACCUAUGGGCUGAGAUGAGAAUGAGGACUGCUGGUAACGUCAAGCCUAGAGAGAGAGAGAGCAGAAACAGGCAUACAAUUUAGGAAUGCAGCUAUAGUGUGAACGUUGUGGUUUGUGUUGCUUUUAGUAUUUCCAGGUUGCAAAAUUUCAUGCUUUUUGCUGUUCUCAUGGCUAAACACAGACUACUGCUCUGGGCCCUGACUGUGUCCCUCCUUGGAGUACGGAGUAAUCCCAGGGAGAAUGUGCCCCUGACAUGUCUUUGCACUGCUCUCUACAGAAAAAUCACACAGGAUCACGAACAGAAUAUUCCCGUUGGACUCCUAAGCAUGUGCUACUAGAGUUAAAAACAUCGUGAGAUUUAGCUCUUUAAUGUACCCACAUCUAGAAUAUUAAUUUCAUGCUACUGUUGGCGAUGAAAAGAUUGAUCCUGUAAUGAAAGGAAUAUUAGUCAAGGGAUGAAGAGAAGGUCACUCAAUUUAUCUCAGCACUGGAAGAAGCGGUAUUCUUUGCUGAUUUUGUAAAAAGCUGUUAAUGUCUCAGAAGACCAAGGGAAUAGAUGGUACCAGCUGAUUCUUUAAUUUAGCCACUGAAAUAUUUUGUUAAUAUUUAUAAAUUUUUAAGGAUCUAAUCCUGUAAAGUCUUGUUUAUAUGAAUAAUCCUUACUCACAAAGAGUCUUGCUGAAUUAUGUAGGGUUUUUUGCACUGGAAAAAAAUAAUUUGUGUAAAGAUCAGUACUACCGGGCCCUUAAAUAUUUACAAACACUCCUCAAAAUUAUUUUAUGAAGGAAACGGAAGAACCAUCUGGUAUCCCCCGUUAUUUAAUGCUCCCUGAUUCUCCUAACUACGUGUAGAAGUCAGCAAAUAUUAGCAUUUUCUUUCUUAUCUGAGGGCAGCCAAAUUACCUUCUUCUUAUCCUGUAGACUUACACUCCUUCCUAACAGAGGACUAAUCCUUUCACUUCUACUUAUGUAAAAUGGACAGACAAUGCCAGUAAGCCAGUCAGCAAAUCUGCUAUGGAGUUUGUUCCAGGACCAAAGUUUCUCUCACCCAGAAUAAUAACCUAGUCUUUCUUCUGCACAUAACCAUCAUGACAUCAGCAGUAUUUCAGUCCUGAAAAAUCUGUGACAUUUUUAACAGCAAGUAGCUGUGCAUCCCUUUACAGUAAUUUUCCCCAGAAAGAAGUACUCUGUUCUUCUUUUCAGAGAUAUACUAAAUACCCACUUUUCAACAGCAGUUGUGGACGCUUAGCUGCUCUCAGGAGUGAGUCUUUGAAUACAAACCUGCAAACCAACUACACAUGUGCAGCUGG